UUUUUAAUCCUGUCCGGUUGCCUCUCCGAGCUCCGGCGGCCGGCGACCAUGGAGUGCUCCCAAACCCCCGCGUGCCAAUAGGGCAACCGACCGGCACGUUUCGGUUCCGACCGAACCGACCGAGCCGUAACCCCUAAGUUGCUCAAGGUCUGCUCACUGCCUCACCGCAUCGCAUCCUCGCUUCUCGCCGCUCAACCACCAGCACCGGCGACGGCGAGUAACCUCAAGGGCGCGGCGCUGGCUCUUCUCCGUCUCCUCGCUGCCACGGACGUCCACGACCUCCUCCCCCUCAUACCCACCCACCCCUCCCAACUCCAAUGGCAGCAUGCCCGCCAGCUGCUCGACGAAACGAAACGGCCGACCAACUGACCAGCAUCCAUGCCCAAUCUACUCCAUGUGAAUGUAAGAUUUCUGCCUAUGAGAGUACUGGUACUGAGGGAGGCAGAUGCUGGACCUCUCAGCGGGGAGCAAAGUUUUCUGAGGAUGACCCUUUUGCACCAGUUGAAAUCCUCUAAUGUAGAUGGCGCUCGCAACUGAGGUCUUCAACAGUCAACACACACGCGCGGCGCAUGAAUGCAGGCAGGCACACGUUUUUGGAGAGCUAACCUGAAUAUCUCUGAUGGUUCUGUAGUGAGUGCUGUAAUGUUUACCUCAAGUUGCUACUCUGUGUUUGCAUGAGGAUGAGGUGUGCUUGAUGUGAGUGUGGCUUGUUCCAACCGUGGAUGUACCUAGUUGCUCUGUGACGAGAGAUAAUUCAAGGAAUCCUUGCCUUCGGUGGUGGGUUAUAAAACAUGAUCAAGCGGUGA